rnacentral:tRNA from 1 species
CCUCUCAUGGUGUAGCGGUAACGCGCCCUGACUAGUGAACAGUGCGUCGUGAGUUUGAUUCUCACCGAGAAGA